AAGCAGCCAGAGGGAGGUGCAGUCAGGUGGCAUUCAGGGGCCAGAGUGUCCAACCAUCGGGUUGGCUGAGUGUUAUGCAAAAACAAUCCCCUCCAGUGAUAAAGGUCAGAAGAGACAGCUACCGCAGAUCUGAAGUACAAAGUAGGGGGGUGCCCUUGCCCUGGUUUGAAUGGGUUCUUUCCCAAAUUCAAGUACUUAAACUUAAUGGCCAAUGUGAUCUUGUUAAGAAGUAGGGCCUUUAAGAGGUCAUUACAUCACAAAGGUCCCUCCCCUUGUAAAUGGGAUUAGGUGCCCUUAUAAAAGGGCUUGACAGAGGGAGGCCACCCCUCCUGCCCUCAGUCUUCUGCUAUGUGAGGACACAGAAGCCAUUGCCAGACACCAAGUGCUAGUGCCUUGGUUGUAGAUUUCCGUCUUCCAGAACUGAAACAUAGAGAAUCGGGGCCAAUUCAAUUGGAGAGGAAGUCACAAAGAACUAAAAGAAGAGCCAGAGCAGCCAUGAUGAGUGACAUUCAGACCACCGGACUUCAGGGAACAAAAGUUAGGGCCAAGCAGGAAAAGCCUUGUGCUGGAAAAGAGACUGGAAUGGACAGAAAGCAGAGCAGAAAUGCCUGCAGGGAUAGACAGCUGCUCCUUCACGGCGCCUUCAAUUUCAUCCAUAUCCUCACCGCCAGCAUCCCUGCCCAAGGGCUUACUCAGGAAAGUCUCUGUGUCUUACAACCCAAGUUCCCAAUCAAAAUUGUGGUUCCUAACACCAUGACUCUUCUGAACUCCUCCUA